UACAGAGGCCCCAAGCAUUACCCGGAAUCACUGGGCGUAAAGGGUGUCGAGGCGGUCGCGUUAGUCUUCCGUAAAAUCCGCGCGCUCAACGUGCGGUCCGCGGGAGAAACGGCGCGACUUGAGGUUGGGAGAGGUAUGUGGAACUCACGGUGUAGGGGUGAAAUGCGUAGAUAUCGGAAGGAACACCUGUGGCGAAAGCGGCUCACUGGACCAUUACUGACGCUGAGGCACGAAAGCUAGGGGAGCAAACAGG
rnacentral:rRNA from 1 species